rnacentral:pre_miRNA from 1 species
AUAAAAAUCACCUAAGGAUUUUGCUAAAAUGCAGAUUCUUAUUGAAUAAGUAAGUCUGAAGUGGGGACUGAAAUUAUGCAUUUGUAACACAUUCCCAGAUGACAUAGAU